GAUGAACGCUGGCGGCGUGCCUAAUACAUGCAAGUCGAGCGAACAGACGAGGAGCUUGCUCCUUUGACGUUAGCGGCGGACGGGUGAGUAACACGUAGGUAACCUACCUAUAAGACUGGGAUAACUUCGGGAAACCGGAGCUAAUACCGGAUAAUAUUUCGAACCGCAUGGUUCGAUAGUGAAAGAUGGCUUUGCUAUCACUUAUAGAUGGACCUGCGCCGUAUUAGCUAGUUGGUAAGGUAACGGCUUACCAAGGCAACGAUACGUAGCCGACCUGAGAGGGGUGUCGGCCACACUGGAACUGGGACCCGGUCCAGACUCCUACGGGAGGCAGCAGUAGGGAAUCUUCCGCAAUGGGCGAAAGCCUUACGGAGCAACGCCGCGUGAGUGAUGAAGGUCUUCGGAUCGUAAAACUCUGUUAUUAGGGAAGAACAAACGUGUAAGUAACUGUGCACGUCUUGACGGUACCUAAUCAGAAAGCCACGGCUAACUACGUG
rnacentral:rRNA from 1 species